rnacentral:rRNA from 1 species
GGGAUGUAACACUGUAGGUAACCUGGCCUCGAAGCCUGGGAUAACACUUCGAAAGGGGUGCUAAUACCGGAUGAGGAAGGGGGGAUGCAUGUCAUUCCCUUCUAAAGCCGGCCUCUUUACAAUGCUGGCACUUCGAGAUGGGCCUGCGGCCGAUUAGCUAGUUGGCGGGGUAACGGCCCACCAAGGCGAUGAUCGGUAGCCGAUCUGAGAGGAUGAUCGGCCACACUGGAACUGAGACACGGUCCAGACUCCUACGGGAGGCAGCAGUGGGGAAUAUUGCGCAAUGGGCGAAAGCCUGACGCAGCGACGCCGUGUGGAGGAAGAAGGCCUUCGGGUCGUAAACUCCUGUCAGGGGGAACGAAAAGAUUUCGGAUAAUACCCGGGAUUCUUGACGGUACUCCCAGAGGAAGCCCCGGCUAACUACGUGCCAGCAGCCGCGGUAAUACGUAGGGGGCGAGCGUUGUUCGGAUUUAUUGGGCGUAAAGCGCGCGUAGGCGGUUAGGUAAGUGAGAGGUCAAAUCCCUCCGCUCAACGGAGGAACUGCCUCUUAAACUACCUUCCUUGAGUUCAGGAGAGGAAAGCGGAAUUCCUGGUGGAGCGGUGAAAUGCGUAGAUACCAGGAGGAACACCGGUGGCGAAGGCGGCUUUCUGGACUGAUACUGACGCUGAGGCGCGAAAGCCAGGGGAGCAAACGGGAUUGGAUACCCCGGUAGUCCUGGCCCUAAACGAUGGACACUAGGUGUUGGAGGUAUCGACCCCUCCAGUGCCGGAGCUAACGCAUUAAGUGUCCCGCCUGGGGAGUACGGCCGCAAGGUUGAAACUCAAGGAAUUGACGGGGGCCCGCACAAGCGGUGGAGCAUGUGGUUUAAUUCG